UAAACUUGAUCAGUAAGAGCACUGAACAGUGCUCUUAGUGUAUAUCGGAACAUAUCCCAAGAUCUUGGUCAAAUUUUGUAGAGUUUCUUGCACUCUUUUGAAAUAUGCAGAGAAAGUUCAAGAUUUUCGAAAACUGACGAAACGACGUUCGUUUUUCGAAAAUUAGGGAAACCCAAUUUUCGUGAUUUUUAUUGAAAAUUUUACACGAAAUUUGCCAAUCUUUGUGCUGGUGUCGACUUUAUGGGCAUUAUUGUGGGAUGUAUUCAGAUUUUCUAAUCCAAAUAAUAUUACUCAAAUUUGAUACACUCAUACCUGGAGGAAUAAAUGACCAGACAUCGUAUGAUGUAUGACAUAGAAGACCACAUAUCAAUUUGCUGGUAAAGACUAACAAAAAAAAAAAAACACAAAAUACCGGUCAAAACAUUCAAAUCAGGGAUUUAUUGUAGUAAAAACAAUAUCGUGUAAAUCCUAAUUUCUAAUCAAACAGCAGUUCGAUCGUUUUUACAACUAUAGUCUUGGAUGCUUGGCCGUUCUGAAUACUCAAUACUAUAGUUGUCCGAAUAUUCACUUACUUUCACGUUCCACACGUAACAUUUUUGUAUGCUUCAUAUCGGAAAAAAAUAAAUAUCGUAAAAAAUCCCUUUUGUAUUUCUUUACUAUUAUUUCCUUUAAAGGACUAAAAGACGAUACAGGUUGAAUCUGAUUGGCCAAUAAAUUCGGACCUAAGCACACUACUGGCAAAAAUGUGCCACGCAACACGAAACUAACGGAACCGACCGUUUUAGUUAGAUAUUAAAAAUGUAUAAUUACCCGCAUCAUCACGCGUUCUUAGCGGUUGUCAUAUAUGCACCUAAAUCGCAAAACGCUAGAUAUUUACCCAAUCGUGUAUUAUAUCGUCGAAUUGACGGGACCAAUAAAAUGUUGAGUACAGUACCUUAAGCGGGUACCCUGGUCGAUUUCGACAUUGGCGAAUGUAUCUCCAAAUAUCAAAGUCCGCAUAUCUCAAACGUGAAGAAGGUAAAAUGCUGAACAAAAACGAUACAAUACAUUUUCAAUUAAUGCAGAAAUAAAGAAAUGGCAUGAAUUCUACGAAUUUACUAUUGCGAUUUCUUAGAAUCCAUACCAUUUCUUUAUUUCUGCGUCAAAUGAAAUUAUAUCGGAGUGUGUUUGUUCAGAAUUGCGUAUAAAAUGGGGCUGUUGGGCCCUUCUUUCGCGCUUGAGAUACGUGAUUUCGGUAUUUGGAAAUUUAUACAAGAACGUCGUAAUCAAGUAAACCACCCCCUUAAAGUUUUUUAAACACUGAAUUGAAAAUCAGAAUUUCACCUAGUACAAGUAUAUUAAUAAUUUCGUAAAGGUUUCACACGAUAUCAAACUUCGGAAAAUAUUUACUGUAUUUAUUCGCGAGAUGAUGGGGACUGAUUGUUUGAAGAUCAAAUCGAAACCCUAAAUAUCAAUGAUUCUUCAUGAGACCACUAUAAGUUCUUGUCACCUUAUAUUCAUUUAAUCAACCAUUAUUGCCUCUCAAGGGUGGAAAUUCAUAUUAUGGCAGUUCUAUUUUCAGACAAAAAAUGUUAUCAUACCGCAGAUGAAAAAUAAUGUGAAGAGUUUUUUAUUGGAAUAAUAUAUUGCAUCCAUUUUUUAACAAACAAUACAUUCAAUUUUUCUGUAGCAAUAUUUUGCUUCAAUUAUAUUUGCAUAAAUUAAAACAAUCAUAAAAUGAUGCAAAAAUACGAUAAACCGUAAUGGGGAUAUAAACUAUUGUGUAAUUUUUACUUAUUUAUGAGGAUAAAACCAAUAAUGAUAAUAAUAACAACAACGAUAAUAAUAAUAAUAAUAAUAAUAAUAAUGGCAGUGGGCUUGUAUAUGUAUGAUAAUUACUAAGUGGGAUCAUUUUAAUUUUUGAUCACAUAUCUUGGAUAUGUUUGUAUGUAUAUAUAAUACAUAUAUGUAUAUAUAUAUAUAUAUAUUUUUUUUUUUAAUUGAACUUUAUAAUAUACUUUCGUGGUACUAGAUAAAAUUGUAAUUACUUAUGAAUUAUGCAGAAUUUAGUACUGUUUUAGUAAGAAACUUUACUUACAAUAAAACUGAUAAAAAUAUCUAUUAUAAUAUAUAAAAAUUACAAUCGUUUUAAAGAUUCGUUUUAAUAAGCUACAAUUUUUUCAGCUAAUAAUCAAGGUAUAAGCACUCCUAUGAGUUCAAACAUUUCUUUUUACAGCGCAGUUAGGCUUUGUAGGAAAGAAAAUUGAAUUCAAAACUCUUCAAGCCGCCAACUUUCAAUUCUACAUGAAUAACUUUCAAUCUGCUGUAAUCAAAAUUUAUAUGAAACUAAUGAAUGGAAUAAAUAUUUUCUAAUAAUUAUUUGUAUGUCAGUACAUAUGAUUAUCUACUAAUUGAAUGGGAAGAAAAUAAUUCUUUCAGUGAUUCAGAAGGCUAUAAUAUUACUCGUUAUUAAUUUUAACACACAAUUGUGUAUUGAAAUGUGAAUACGCAAAGCUAUAUCGAAACCAUGGGAAUCACAGUUGAUAUCAUCCGAAAUAUUCAACACAAGUAGUAUUGAGACACAAUAAUCAGGCUAAUAGACGAAUACACUUAAUAGGCUGUGAUACAUGUAUAUUAAUGAAUACAAUAGACAGGGUGUCUACUGCAAUCGAGAAUUGAGAUUUCAGGACUAUUCCAGGAGUUUCCAGGA
rnacentral:lncRNA from 1 species